UGUUUUUGUUAAAGAUCUGCCAAUAACUUUUCCUACAUAUUUUCAUUUUCAGAUGUCAAUGAAUGUAAUUCCAGCUCUCCCCUUUGUUCGGACGUUCAAAAGUGCAUCAACACAUCCUGGAAGUUAUUCCUGCGCUUGUCAAAAAUGUUCACCUCAAUGCGAACAAGGAGGAGUUCUCAUCCUUGGUUCGGUGUGUGUCAGGCUCUCAUCAGGCAUGGAGCUUGUAAUGACCUGGCGUGAAGGAUUUCUCAGCUGUGGGCUUCCAAACUACUUGGUUCCAAUGGCGACGCAAGAACAAAUUGAUUUAAUCGGUAGUCGGGUGCUGCCCAACGAUAACAACGCCGCCUGGGUCUUGUCAACACCAAACCAACAGCCCUUUACAAAAGCUUGUGCCCAGCCAUUGAGAGGAACGGUACCUUCUUUGUAGCUAAAGCUUAUCCUUGUAACACAAAACUCAUUUACGCUAUUUGCGAAAGCACAAAAAUGUGGUAGCAAACAAUCCCAAAUGGUGCCGUCAUCAGGAAUGAAUAAUUUCCUCAAGAGAAAUGAUUUGAUAUUGACGUUAGAAUAAAUAGAGGGACUUGCCAGUUUCGCAAAACCCCUCUGGCGUUUUGUGGGGAAGAUCAAAGAUGACCGAAUUCCUCGCAACCUCUGUUUCUUCAUCAAAUAAAAGAGUUAUUAAUGUCA